rnacentral:rRNA from 1 species
GACGAACGCUGGCGGCGUGCUUAACACAUGCAAGUCGAACGGAAAGGCCCUGCUUUUGUGGGGUGCUCGAGUGGCGAACGGGUGAGUAACACGUGAGUAACCUGCCCUUGACUUUGGGAUAACUUCAAGAAACUGGGGCUAAUACCGGAUAGGAGCUCCUGCUGCAUGGUGGGGGUUGGAAAGUUUCGGCGGUUGGGGAUGGACUCGCGGCUUAUCAGCUUGUUGGUGGGGUAGUGGCUUACCAAGGCUUUGACGGGUAGCCGGCCUGAGAGGGUGACCGGCCACAUUGGGACUGAGAUACGGCCCAGACUCCUACGGGAGGCAGCAGUGGGAAAUAUUGCACAAUGGGCGGAAGCCUGAUGCAGCAACGCCGCGUGCGGGAUGACGGCCUUCGGGUUGUAAACCGCUUUCGCCUGUGACGAAGCGUGAGUGACGGUAAUGGGUAAAGAAGCACCGGCUAACUACGUG